ACAGCCCCACUCCGCUUUACCUCAUUCAUUUUCAUAUAAUCCGCCACUUCCAAUCCCUCUUAACUCCACCAGCAUCCCUUUAAAUCAACCCCCCCGUCCCCCCUCCAUCACUCCUUUUUCCCUUCUUCUUUUCUCUGUCUGAUAAUGACACUGGAAAGUUCACCUUUUAAGGACGGAGCUGCCGGUGAAUGCUGCAUGUGGCACUGGACUGGCGCAUGUGCUGCUACACGGGGGGGCUGGGGGGGGUACGGUGCAUGGUGAGCACUGUGGAAGACCCGAGGCCGGGCUGGAUCUUCAGCAUUCGGGGACUAUAAAUCCACCUGAGCUCAAGCUCUCGUCUCUGCCGUUCUCCAAACUUUUAAAUGGGUCAAAAAUGAAUAUUGCAGAAUCACUCAAGUUUAAAAAUGCAGCUGAGGCAGAGCAGUAAGAACGAUCAUGUACGUCGCGCCAGCAACGUUACCACGGGCCUUGUUGCCUUAACGAUGUUUUUUAGCGUUUUUGCAGACAGGACCCCUUAAUUUAUUCAUGUGCUGCCAUCCCACGCUGCUCACAAUAACACAGCCCCCCGACAAAUAUAAAUCUAAUAUUUACUUGCCGUAAGCUGUUUGAUUUUGCAUCCUAAGAGAGGUCAGCUCCUCUGAGAUUUGCUGGAAAACACAGCGGUUUACACAGUAUAUCAUAAAAAAACACAUACCGUUUAUUCAAGGGCGUCUUCCAGCACUGCAGCUGUAGAUUCAGAGGACAGUGUAAUACAAGUGAAGCCCCUUUUUUCCCAUUUUUCUGGGUUUGUAGGAAUUAACUGCGUGGCAUAAACGAAAAAAAACAAAAACCAGCGCCACAUGCCAGGAGACAGAAGUAGUGGCAGUGUCCUUGUUUUGUGGCCCGCCGGGACCCCACAGUCCUCCCUGCGUCCCAGAGCCGCCACUAGGCUCCAAUCAAAUAUUCAUAGUGGUUCUGCCUCCCUGUAUCAGCCUCACGCUGCCUCCCUGGCGUGCUGCAGGCCUCACUCCGCCCUUCCGUGUCCAUGCACACAAGUGCGACCACUUCCUACCUCGCCCUUUACUCCGCAGGAGGUACACGUGUCGUUUUAAAAAUCUGUCCCGGCCCCUUAACAUUCAACACUUGAGGAAAAGGCAAACCUUUUAAGCUUUAAGCGUUAACCCCCAACCUCGCUUUCUGGGGCCUGUCUAUUGCCUGUCUAUCUUCACGUGAACCCGAGCCCGUCCUCGCCUCUCGCCCUCAGUUGUGCAUCUUGUGGGGAUUAGUAGCGGUGGUUUUGUUUUAAUCUCUUCCCUCUCUCUCUCCUUGCUUCAUGUGUAAUUUGUGGCAAGGUAAGGAGCACCCUUUGCUUCUCAGCCUUCGGUUUAAAUCAAGCAGCCUUUUUGAUUUUUCAGGUGGCGCUUAGAGAUUUUUUUCUUCGUCUCCGUUUUUUCUUUUUAGAAACCUGGCAGUUUUUUUUGUUAAACAUAGUAGUUUGCCACUUUGACAAAUCAAAUCUGUUUAGAAGAAGCAGAGUGAAUCCGCUCCUCAUCGCCUCUCUUCUCUCCUGAUCUGCAGGGCCAGAUGCAUGAACUUUCUUUAUGACCCCUUUUCCUCUCCGCAGUAACAAGCAGCCUUCUGGAAGAACGACGGCACAACAAUACGCUAUGCAACAUUCAUGCAUCCUCCUCCCCUGACUGUGCUUACCUAACUUAAAGCAGGAGACACUACAUCGGAAAAGUUAGACGUGAUGGUUGAUCACUGUGACAAAGCCUUGAAGAUGCACCUCGAUAAAUGACGAAUCAUUAUUUAAGGCUCCGCUAGACUUUGAAUUACGUCCCGUGUUCGGAGAAAAAGAUGCAAAAUCUCCGGAAAUAGUGUUUUUAUGUAACUUGGCUGGCUGUUGAUGUGAUCGCUUCUGAUUAGACUUCCAAUUGCACUCAGCCCCCUUUUUAAAAACGAUCCCAGCGAGGCCUCACGUCUCGCUAACGGAGAGCGAGCGGAGGAGCGGCAGGUUAAAGGCACCAGCAUUUCCCCAAAUGAUGCCGCGUAUUCGCUUUGUGACGUUACAUUAUGCAACGUGUGACUGUUCAUCCUCGAUGCAGGAACCGCCCCAGAGUGGAAAACAUCUAAUAUUCUAACCUUCAUUAAUGCUCUAAAACACUGACGUCUGGUUCGCAGACUCUGAAGACUUAAAGUUCAGAUUGAACAAUUCCUAUGUAAACACUCUUCUCCCGAAAGGUUGGAAGCAUCAGUGCUUACCUGCAAAUAUACUUUGGCUAUUGUUCAUGUCUCGACACCACCCACAUCUCUCGCUGCUGCUUCCCUUUGGGUGGAUGUGCAUCUCUCUGAUGCACUUGGACCACCUUUGCUCUCCGUAUUUUCAGCGUAGCGGCGCGGUGAUGCUUGGCGCUCCCGGUGUGCCUGUGGGCAGUUUUCAUUGCUGUGAGGGAUUAUGGGUAUUAUGCUCCUCAGAGGGCCACCGUCUGCAGUAUCACCCUUCCUCUCCCGCCGUUACUCUCCAUUAGAGAGCAGGCGGAGGUCUAAUCCUCCUGCAGGCCCCCGCGGAGUUCUUUGAGGCCCCGGGCUUGGUCGCAGGCACGGCAGCCAUCUUUGUUUUCGACGGGCGGGUUUGCAUCGAUGGAAAACAAAGCAGCGGCGAGGCGUGUACCAGAUGGGUCAGACUUUAGGGACUUGGGAUUUUAGAUGUCUGCAUAACGAGCCUGGUUCCUUUCAGGUGGGGUGGUGGAAGGUACUGACAACCCGCGCUCUUAACUCCCCAACGUGCUCUUUCCGCCUCCGGCUGCUUCACCCGACCCAUUGCUUUGCCAAAAGGCCCUUUUACUGCAGAGGUCAAAGUCAAGUGAACGCAACCUGCCCGACGUAGCGUGAAGACGUAGCAGACGUCGUGAAUGCUUGUUGCGCUGUUUUCCCGCUCGUCUCCGCCUCUGACGGGUGGUUCUCUCCUCUGUGUUUGUCAUUGCAGCAGCUAAGUCCUUGCUCAACAAGAAGGCCGAUGUCAAGCCCCAGACAAACAGCACCAAAAACAGCAUAGUCACCAGCCCCAAAGGAAACGUCCCGUCACCUGCUCUGGAGCCUCAGACAACCGUCAUCCAUAAUCCGGUGGACAGGACGAAGGUACACGUGUAUCAUUCCCCAGGCCCGACCUACUCUUUACCAUUCUCCUCCUCUUCCUCAUCUCCUCCUGCCCUUCACAUCCUUCUUUUCAUCAUCUGUUCAAAUGUGUGACGUGUGUGUGUGUGUGUGUGUGUGUGUGUGUGUGUGUGUGUGUGUGUGUGUGUGUUUUGCUUCAGGUUUUGCACUCAGAGCAUAGGACCUAGAUGGAAGUUGUCAGAGAACUCUGAUGGAGUUGAACGAUGAUAUUAUAUCAUAUUUUUUAAUCAUAUUUUUAUAAAAUUUAUAUUUGGUCACAUGUAAAAUGUAGUUUGCUGCAGCUCGUGUGUCUGUGUUUAGAGGUUGUGCAUGAACCUGCAUGACUUUGCAGUACGACCAUCUCCCCCGUGGGUCUGUAACAUUUAUCAGCUGUGUGUGUGUGUGUGUGUGUGUGCGCGCCGCUGUGCCGUUUGUGUCGAGUCGUGACGCACAAACAAACCACGAAAUGAAUAAGAUGCUUAAUGUCCCGAAGAAAAGUUAAAUCUGAAAACAAACCAAGUGUGAUCACACCUCUAAUAAUAUUCU